rnacentral:rRNA from 1 species
AGAGUUUGAUCCUGGCUCAGGAUGAACGCUGGCGGCGUGCUUAACACAUGCAAGUCGAACGAGCCUUCGGGCUAGUGGCGGACGGGUGAGUAACGCGUGAGAAUCUGCCCUCAGGAGGGGGAUAACGGCUGGAAACGGCCGCUAAUACCCCAUAUGCCGCGAGGUGAAAUGAGAAAUCGCCUGAGGAUGAGCUCGCGUCUGAUUAGCUAGUUGGUGGGGUAAGAGCCUACCAAGGCAUCGAUCAGUAGCUGGUCUGAGAGGAUGAUCAGCCACACUGGGACUGAGACACGGCCCAGACUCCUACGGGAGGCAGCAGUGGGGAAUUUUCCGCAAUGGGCGCAAGCCUGACGGAGCAACGCCGCGUGAGGGAUGAAGGCCUCUGGGCUGUAAACCUCUUUUCUCAAGGAAGAAGAACUGACGGUACUUGAGGAAUAAGCCACGGCUAAUUCCGUGCCAGCAGCCGCGGUAAUACGGGAGUGGCAAGCGUUAUCCGGAAUUAUUGGGCGUAAAGCGUCCGCAGGCGGUCUUGAAAGUCUGUUGUUAAAGCGUGGAGCUCAACUCCAUUUCAGCAAUGGAAACUAGAAGACUAGAGUGUGGUAGGGGCAGAGGGAAUUCCCGGUGUAGCGGUGAAAUGCGUAGAUAUCGGGAAGAACACCAGUGGCGAAGGCGCUCUGCUGGGCCAUAACUGACGCUCAUGGACGAAAGCCAGGGGAGCGAAAGGGAUUAGAUACCCCUGUAGUCCUGGCCGUAAACGAUGAACACUAGGUGUCGGGGGAAUCGACCCCCUCGGUGUCGUAGCCAACGCGUUAAGUGUUCCGCCUGGGGAGUACGCACGCAAGUGUGAAACUCAAAGGAAUUGACGGGGGCCCGCACAAGCGGUGGAGUAUGUGGUUUAAUUCGAUGCAACGCGAAGAACCUUACCAGGGUUUGACAUCCUGCGAAUCUUUUGGAAACAGAAGAGUGCCUUCGGGAGCGCAGAGACAGGUGGUGCAUGGCUGUCGUCAGCUCGUGUCGUGAGAUGUUGGGUUAAGUCCCGCAACGAGCGCAACCCACGUCUUUAGUUGCCAGCAUUAAGUUGGGCACUCUAGAGAGACCGCCGGUGAUAAACCGGAGGAAGGUGUGGAUGACGUCAAGUCAUCAUGCCCCUUACAUCCUGGGCUACACACGUACUACAAUGCUACGGACAGAGGGCAGCAAACUCGCGAGAGCUAGCAAAUCCCAUAAACCGUGGCUCAGUUCAGAUCGUAGGCUGCAACUCGCCUACGUGAAGGAGGAAUCGCUAGUAAUCGCAGGUCAGCAUACUGCGGUGAAUACGUUCCCGGGCCUUGUACACACCACCCGUCACACCAUGGAAGUUGGCCAUGCCCGAAGUCGUUACUCCAACCCUUGUGGAGGAGGACGCCGAAGGU